rnacentral:rRNA from 1 species
GAUGAACGCUGGCGGCGUGCCUAAUACAUGCAAGUCGAGCGAACGGACGAGAAGCUUGCUUCUCUGAUGUUAGCGGCGGACGGGUGAGUAACACGUGGAUAACCUACCUAUAAGACUGGGAUAACUUCGGGAAACCGGUGCUAAUACCGGAUGAUAUUUUGAACCGCAUGGUUCAAAAGUGAAAGACGGUCUUGCUGUCACUUAUAGAUGGAUCCGCGCUGCAUUAGCUAGUUGGUAAGGUAACGGCUUACCAAGGCAACGAUGCAUAGCCGACCUGAGAGGGUGAACGGCCACACUGGAACUGAGACACGGUCCAGACUCCGACGGGAGGCAGCGGUAGGGAAUCUUCCGCAAUGGGCGAAAGCCUGACGGAGCAACGCAGCGUGAGUGAUGAAGGUCUUCGGAUCGUAAAACUCUGUUAUUAGGGAAGAACAUAUGUGGAAGUAACUGUGCACAUCGUGACGGUACCUAAUCAGAAAGCCACGGCUAACUACGUG